UAAUCGCAGAUCAGAAUGCUGCGGUGAAUGCGUUCCCGGGUCUUGUACACACCGCCCGUCAAACCACGGGAGUUGGAGACGCCCGAAGCCGAUUAUCUAACCUUUUGGAAGAAGUCGGCGAAGGUGGAAUCAAUAACUGGGGUGAAGUCGUAACAAGGUAGCCGUAUCGGAAGGUGCGGCUGGAUCACCUCCUUUCUAAGGAGA
rnacentral:rRNA from 1 species